GGAGCCCCUGCCGUCGAUCACGACCACAGCGUAGCCCAGAGACGCCAGAGUGUUGAGCCGCAAAUACUUGAUUCCUUUGAAGGAGUUAUUGACCAGCUGCACCUGUGGGGAAGGCGAGACAAGGCGAGUGUGAGACAUCCAGCCGUGUCGUGCAGCAUGCGGGAUCUUAGUUCCCUGACUGGGGAUCGAACCCGCGCCCCUGCGGUGGACAUGCGGAGUCCUGAGCACUGGACCGCCAGGGAAGUGCCAACUUAAGUGCAUUUUAAACAGAGAUCCGUCAGGGUCAUAGGUGGAAAAGCCGAAUCUCAACAUAAAGACAGAACUACUAAAACUAUGUCCAAGGAGCAUCUUGGGGAUGUGAGGUUCCAGCGAGAGCCCCGGGGUGGCUGAAGGCCCUGAGCCUCAGGGUGGACGGCCUGGUCUCUGCCCUCUCGGGACACCAGUGGGUGCUGAUGCUCACUUCUCAGGCCACAGUUCAUUUCGCAACUGCUCAACUGGGCCCAUGUGGGGUGAGUGGCCACAGACGAUCCCUAAACAAACUUGUGUGUGGCCGUGUGCCAAUAAAACUGUCUUUAUGGACACAGGAAUAUGGAUUUCCUAUCAUU